UACCACCUCGUUCUUCAUUAUUCAUUCAUGUUUCAUUUUUCAGAGAACAAACCAAAACCUAGCUUUUUCUCUCACAAGAAAUUUUUUCCCACCAUGAUUCGAUCUCAAUCUUUGCAUAAUUUACUUCGAUCUGUAACUAAUUUCUUCGAUCUAUAAGUAUUUUCUUUCUUUAAUAGUAGAAAAAAGAUGGAAACCCAUUUUGUUUCCUCAUCAGUAUAGAAGAGUAAGACAGAAAUCAACAGUGAAGACGUUUUGAAUCCCCUUUUAUUUCAUCAUCAAUAGUAUUAUCGGUGGAUUUCUCUGUGCCAAGCAUAUGGGUAAUGAUAUGUGGGAUGUGGCUAUGGAUAGAAGGACACGAAGCUGGUCGAGAAAUUGGUUAUGUUGAGCAGUAUUAGGUUGAACAUGUUAGUGCUCGAAGGAACCUGCUUGCAGAAAUUACUAGCCCCUGCAUUGUCAAGCUCUACUUUUCAUUUCAAGAUUCGAAGUACUUGUAUCUGAUCAUGGAAUAUUUUCCUUGUGGUGACGUGAUGUACCUGCUCAUAAGAGAAGACGCCUUAUCUUCAAUAUUCAUAGGUAGUUUAUAUUUGAAGCAAGUAGAGAGACAAACACGUCGAUCUGUGUUUGUGUGGCGGCUUCAACGAAGAAAGCUAAAUUAGCAGCUAAGACAGCUUGUCAAACAGAGAAAAGAUGGGUAUAUAAAUGCUUCGCUCUGUAGUCUAUAAAGAUGACACAACUAAUAUCCCGGACAAAAUGCCAAUCCGCAACCUGAUCCCACAGCCGUGGAGGACAUAUCAAUUUGUUCCGUAUUUUCGAUGGCGUAGGCAUCGAGCUGCUGCUAAGUGCAGGUGGAAGUGGGAGUCCUGGUUCAACCGAUGUAUAGGUGGAUUCAAGGUUUGAGCAUAGAACUGGCAAGGUACGCAGCUAUGGACCUCCAUACGAAUGACAACCAACGAGUUUUAUUGGUAUAUAAGUAAUGAUGUGCAGUAUCUUUAUUCCAAAAUGUCCAAGGAGCGAAAUCAUUUUUACAUUGGUUAAUGUUUGGUUAUCUUUUUCAGCUUCCCAGGGAAGGCUGCUGGUGUUAAAAUUGCUAGUGGAGCAGCGGCAGCUCCAGCAGUAGAAGCUGCAAAGUGAAUGGGACCAACCUGCUGUGUCUGUUCAUGUUAAGGUAUCUUGUUCAUUGGGGUUCCUUGACAUGUUCAAGUAUGUCAUUUCAACCAAGAUGGAAGUUCUGAAUUCGAGUCAAGGAGGACCUAAUUACUCAGCUCUUCCUUUUGUUAAGAUUAAUAUCUCAAGAAUAUGGAGCGUAUAAUCUUGUUGAGCUUAUUCACUUCAAACUGUUUUGUAAAGAUGGACAUAGGAGAAUGACCUGGGCUGCUUCUGAUUUAUGUUUUCACUGAAUUGUAAAUUGUGUAUCGAAAAGAACAGAUUGCAAUUGUGUUUCAGGUUUAAAUUUAAUUGUGUCCCAGGCCUGUAAACUGAGAUCCAUGGUGACCUGUAUCGCAGGCCUGUAAACUGAGAUCCCAGGUCCAUGAGAAUGACCUGAGCUGCCUAUUUUGUUAAUUGUAAUUAAAUUUUUAUCACGGUUUUAACUGUAACAACAAUAGUGAGUAAAAGCAACACGUGCCGUCAUCUGAGAGUUGUUGCAAAUAAGAGUAACAAUUUAACUGUUA